AUGAAAAUGGCUGGCUCUGCUGUGCUGCUCAUUUCGCUCCUAUCGGCUAUCGCCCCCCUACCCUCUGAAGCCCUCAACGUGGGAGGUCAUCUGCUGAAAUCAAAGACGUUCCGUUCUCCGCCCAUCUUACUGGGGCCUGGAUCAGUCUCAAACAAGUACUACCAUGACGUCGACUUCCCCCGAGGCCACCUUGCAGUCAAGAGCUUUAAUGCUGAGGUCGUCGAUGAGAAUGGCGUCCCUGUCCCGCUCCAUGAGACUUACCUGCAUCACUGGGUUGCAGUACCAUACUAUGCUCUCAAGGACAACCAGAGCUCUGAUGCGCAAAAGGUUCCCGCAAUGCUUAAAGGGAAUGAUGGAGUGUGCAAGAGAGCACUAACCCAGUACUUCGGGCUCGGUUCCGAGACUCGCCACACCGCCACAUGGGUUCCUGAUCCUUAUGGAAUUGAGACCGGCAACCAAGAGAAGGCCCCUGAAGGCUAUGAGGAGAAAUGGCUGCUCAAUAUUCAUGCCAUCGACACGAGGGGCGUGGCCGACAAGCCUAGCUGCACCGAGUGCAAGUGCGACUUCUACAAUGUCACAAUUGAUGAGUAUGGGCGCACAGUCUCGAAGAACUACACUGGUGGGUUGCUUUGCUGCUAUGAUCAGACCCAGUGUCGGCUCAAAGCAGGGUUCAACGCCGAGGUGCGGAAGGUGUUCUUGCAGUACACCGUGACUUGGCUCGACUGGACUGAUGCGGUGGUGCCUGUCAAGAUCUACAUAUUUGACGUUACGGAUACCGCUAUGCUCGACGGGACUCAUGAACACUCUUGCAAGGUUGAGUAUCAAGUUGAGGAAUGCAGCGCGGAAAACCGAGCCAACAAUGAGUGCAUCCAUACUAAGACUACCAGAGCGGUCUUGCCGCGUGGAGGAGAUAUCGUGUACAGUGUUGCACACCAGCACUCUGGAGGAGUCGGUGCUUCUCUGCAUGGCCAGGAUGGACGCCUUCUAUGUGAAUCGCUUCCAACUUACGGCACAGGGAAGGAGGCAGGGAACGAGGCAAACUACAUUGUCGGCAUGUCGAGUUGCUACCCUAAGCCAGGAUCCAUCAAGGUCAGCGACGGCGAGGUGCUGACCAUCGUCUCCAACUACAGCAGCGACCGAGAGCACACCGGCGUCAUGGGCCUGGUCUACAUCCUCGUGGCCGAGCCGCAGCAGCCGGCUCCGGCGCCAUCCCUGUGCUUCAGUUUUCCGGCCCCAUGGUGCCUACCGGCAUGGAUGUCUAGCAACAUGUGA
rnacentral:rRNA from 1 species